rnacentral:rRNA from 1 species
GGUUCGAUUAUGGCUCAGAUUGAACGCUGGCGGGAUGCUUUACACAUGCAAGUCGAACGGCAGCACGGACUUGGUCUGGUGGCGAGUGGCGAACGGGUGAGUAAUGUAUCGGAACGUGCCUAGUAGCGGGGGAUAACUACGCGAAAGCGUAGCUAAUACCGCAUACGCCCUUCGGGGGAAAGCGGGGACCUUCGGGCCUCGCACUAUUAGAGCGGCUGAUAUCGGAUUAGCUAGUUGGUGGGGCAACGGCUCACCAAGGCGACGAUCCGUAGCUGGUUUGGAGAGGACAAAAUCCAGCCACACUGGGACUGGAGACAGGGCCCAGACUCCUACGGAGGCAGGUGGGGAAUUUUGGACAAUGGGGGAAACCCUGAUCCAGCCAUCCCGCGUGUGCGAUGAAGGCCUUCGGGUUGUAAAGCACUUUUGGCAAGAAAAGAAACGGCACGGGAUUACCCCGUGCAACUGAUUUGGUACCUGCAGAAUAAGCACCGGCUAACUACUGCGCCAGCAGCCGCGGUAAUACGUAGGGUGCGUUAAUCGGAAUUACUGGGCGUAGCGUGCGCAGGCGGUUCGGAAAGAAAGAUGCGAAAUCCCAGAGAACUUUGGAACUGCAUUUUUUAACUACCGAGCUAGAGUGUGUCAGAGGGGGAGGUGGAAUUCCGCGUGUAGCAGUGAAAUGCGUAGAUAUGCGGAGGAACACCGAUGGCGAAGGCAGCCUCCUGGGAUAACACUGGACGCUCAUGCACGAAAGCGUGGGGAGCAAACAGGAUUAGAUACCCCGGUAGUCCACGCCCUAAACGAUGUCAACUAGCUGUUGGGGCCUUCGGGCCCCGGUAGCGCAGCUAACGCGUGAAGUUGACCGCCUGGGGAGUACGGUCGUGAUUAAAACUCAAAGGAAUUGACGGGGACCCGCAAGAAGCGGUGGAUGAUGUAAUUCGAUGCAACGCGAAAAACCUGGUUUUUACCCUUGACAUGUCUGAAUCCCGAAGAGAUUUGGGAGUGCUCGCAAGAGAACCGAAACACAGGUGCUGCAUGGCUGUCGUCAGCUCGUGUCGAGAUGCUGGGUUAAGUCCUGCAACGAGCGCAACCCUUGUCAUUAGUUGCUACGAAAGGGCACUUUAGAGACUGCCGGUGACAAACUGGAUAGCGUGAUACGUCGAGUCCAGGGUCUUUAUGGGUAGGGCUGUCAUACAAUGGUCGGGACAGAGGGUCGCCAACCCGCGAGGUGUGGUGCCAAUCCCAGAAACCUGAUCAGAACUGGAUCGCAGUCUGCAACUCGACUGCGUGUGAAGUCGGAAUCGCUAGUAAUCGCGGAUCAGCAUGUCGCGGUGAAUACGUUCCCGGGUCUUGUACACACCGCUCCGUCACACCAUGGGAGUGGGUUUUAACAGAAGUAGUUAGCCUAACCGUAAGGAGGGCGAUUACCACAGUAGGAUUCUUAUGACUGGGUGAAGUCGUAACAAGGUAAC